CCGCCCUCCCGCAGGAAUCCCGGGCGGCGCGGCGGCUCCGGGACGCGCGGCUCCGCGGGGCUGCACAGCAGCGGCAGCGGCAGCAGGAGAGCAGCGAGCGGGGGAGCCGCGCUGCCAGCAGCAGCCGCCGCCUCACGCUGCGGCACCGGCACGGCCAGCGCAGGUGGCAGUGUAGAAGCCAAGAACAAGAAUUGGCAGAAAUUGUGUUCUGUGUACGAGACUAUGAAGAGUGUACUCAUGACUAAGCACAGGAACCUGGAAAACCACAGGCUUUGGUCAGGUGAUCCCUGAUGAGCAGCCAGCCCACCAAGAAGGGAUUUGAGCACACAGGCUGGUGCCAGAUUCCUCUGUGGAUGGGUGGUGGAAAGCUCCUGUCUUCACCCACCGCUGGAAACACAAAUGUUACAGCUCUGCCCAUCAUUGUGCCUGACAAGCCGUGUUCCCUGAGAGCUGAAUGCUGAGCACACCUCAGCCCCUGUGAUCAGACACUGCCAGCAUUCAAAGGAGAUGUUUUAUACAUGAAAAAGAGAUGUUUACAGAGAGCUGGAAUGUAGAGGUGAUGCAGUCCAACAAUCCCAGUGGAAAUUAGGAGCAGCUCAGUGCCUCUGAAGGCUGACGUGUGUUAUGUAUAUAGCACUGAGCACGGAGGGGCUUCCUGCACACUGAUGCUGUGAAUUAGUCACUGCAGGUACCAUAACUUGCAUAAGCUGGUGGGAAAAAGUGCAUUUUCAGCCAAGCGUGCUAAUACAGCCCUUCCACUUUCUCUGAAACAGACAAAUAAUGGAUACCUUAAGGGUAAAUAUCAAAGAGGAUUUAGUUUUAGGGUUUUUUGUUUGUUUGUUUGUGUGUUUUGUUUGGCUUUUUAAAUGCAAAGAUUCUCAAAACCUACAUCACUUGUUUACCCAAAGGAAAAAUAAACAAACAUGGACUUGCUCA
rnacentral:lncRNA from 1 species